CAGAUGGUGAAGGAAGGAACAAGAUGAUCAAAAGAUUUUCCUGAGCUAUGGAAUAUCACUAAUGCAUGAGAAGAAUAAAACUGAUGUGAGGCCAUAUAGGAGGGAAAUGGUGGAACUGUGGCCUUUACUGUGAUGGUGGCAGAGAUGAAAGAUAAAGGAUCUGAAUAGAAGAGAUGGAAAGGGAACAAGCCCCAGCAACGGGAAAGGUGGUGAGGACCAUGAAUCCGGAACUAUUCCACAACAUCCAGUGAAGUAUCUCAUAUAAGACGACACCAAGGAUGCAUUUAGUAAAACUUGAAUAUAUGAAGAUGAGGGACUGACUAUGUUUGAUUAACUCAUUUUAAAUUUAUCUUCUGUAUUUGACUCAGCUGAUUAAGCAUAGGCAUUUCAGUAUCAUUGUAUGUGUCAAAACUCAUUUUCUUUUGGGAUGGAUAAAGUGGUUUGCUUUUCUCACUUCAACUUCUAGGUGCUUAGCCACCGACCGACCUCAGCAACUAGGAGAAGCACAUCGCUACAGAGCAGUCAUAGUGGCAAACACUCAUAUUGCAUUUAUUGUGUGUUCUGGACAGUUUAUGGUUUUUGUUUUUUGGGUUUUUUAUU